CCGGGUGGCGCGGGGCGGCGGCUUUUGCAGCCCCAGGUGGAACCGGAGCACUUGGGGGCGCUGGGAGCGAGCGGCGCCCUGAGCCCGGAGCGAGGAGGGCGCGCGAGUUAUGGAGGGGCCGGUGUGGGAGCCCCGGCUCUCGGAGCUCCGCGUGGUGCGGCGCAGGCGGGACGAGGAAUCGCUGGGAGGAAGCCGGGACGGAAGCGGGCCCCUGCGGCGAGAGCGGAGCCCACGCGGAGACUGCGCGGGCGUCCGAACCCCCUAGAAUGGAGGCGCCGCUCCUGCAGUGGCCGGCCUUGUUUUCUUUUUGCAUGCAAAUGCCGGAACGCCCGGAACCGCCAUCCCUGCCUGCGUCCCAGGGGCGCCCCAGUACGCGGCGGCGGGGGGAGGGUACGCCCCGCGGGGCCACGCUGGGAGAGCCUCAGCCUUGGUUGAGGCCGGGGAGGGCCGCCGAGGUGGCUCCGCGGGGCUGCGGGCCGCAGCGGUGGCCAACGCACUCGAACCCGCCUCCCCCUCCCCCGGAAGAGCGAGCACAGGAAGACGCGGGCUAUCUCUGGGGCCUCCCCAGGGGGUGUGGGAGCCGCGCGGGGACUGCGAGGCGGGAGGAGGUGCUGGUGCUGGAGGCACUAGUCAGGGGUUACUUGCAGCCUCAGCCCCCCCCCUCCCCCCCCCCCCGCCGCUAUCGUCCGGCGAUCCGGGCCAGCCUGCGGCGGCGUCCCCGACUGCUCCGCGAUCCUGGGCAGGGCAGGAAGCUGGCACGGCCGCCGGCUGGGCAGGCGCCACUUGGCCGAGUAGGCUGCUCGCUGGAACUCGCGCGGCACCUUCGCGCCCACUCGGGUUCCCGGGUCUCCGGCCCGGCCACCCUGAGCCGCUGCUCCCCGCACCCCCUCGCUGUGUCCCUCGGCCUCCCUCGGAAGUCUCCCCGUCUCCUCCCGCCCUCUCGGCUUUUCCCUUCCUCGGUCUGUCUCGGGAGCUCCGUAACGCAGUCAACCCCCCUUCCCGAGAUUCAAAAAGAAAUUUUGUGUUUCCCCGGGGGCAGCAGCCUAAUGCUUCCCUUGUUUUCCGGAACAAAGCAGACAUUCAGCGGGGAGGGGGCAGGCGCUGACUCCUUCCCGCUCCCCGUAGCACCCCGAACCCCUGCAGGUUCACAACGCUCGCGUCGGAGCCCGGCUGGCCCAGGGGAGGGGUGGGGGCCCCCUGCCCCCAAGUUGGGCCACAAAGGCCUCGCCCGGGAGCCAGCGAGAAGGCGACAGGGUGCUUGGGUGAGGUUUACAGGCCGGGCGGGGAGGGCGCGCACGCGGCUGUUUACAGUGUGUCUGUGCUGCUGGAAGCUCGCCCGCCGCCGCUUGACAGCGUGGGGCACCCGCGGGCUGCCAGCUCAGAGGAGUUGCGCAGCGGCGGGCCCUCCGGCGCUCGGCCUGAGGCCUCCGCAGCGCCGGGACCAGGGCGCGCAGGGAAGCAAGAGAUCUCCCAUCUCGCAUCCCUCUUCCAACCCGUAAACUCCCUCCCCCGCUCGGGGUCUGGAUCGGGUAGCAUAUCAAAGGGACUCCCGGAGCGGGGAGGAGCUCACCAGGGCGCUAUGGGCCGGCGUAGCGCCCGGGUUCUCAGCAGACUCC
rnacentral:lncRNA from 1 species